rnacentral:rRNA from 1 species
AGCAGCCGCGGUAAUUCCAGCUCCAAUAGCGUAUAUUAAAGUUGUUGCAGUUAAAAAGCUCGUAGUUGAAUUUCGGGAUCAAUAUAUCGGUCGUGCCUUCGGUACGUACUGGUAUCGUUGAUUUCUACCUUCUGACGAACCAUGAUGUCAUUAAUUUGGUGUCAUGGGAAAUCAGGACUGUUACUUUGAAAAAAUUAGAGUGUUUAAAGCAGGCACACGCUUGAAUACAUUAGCAUGGAAUAAUGAAAUAGGACGUUUGACCCUAUUUUGUUGGUUUCUAGGAUCGACGAAAUGAUUAAUAGGGAUAGUUGGGGGCAUUAGUAUUCAAUUGUCAGAGGUGAAAUUCUUGGAUUUAUUGAAGACUAACUACUGCGAAAGCAUUUGCCAAGGAUGUUUUCAUUAAUCAAGAACGAAAGUUAGGGGAUCGAAGACGAUCAGAUACCGUCGUAGUCUUAACCAUAAACUAUGCCGACUAGGGAUCGGAUGAUGUUAAUUUUUUAAUGUACUCAUUCGGCGUACC